rnacentral:misc_RNA from 1 species
UCUCCGUUGGUGAACCAGCGGAGGGAUCAUUAUCGAGUUUAUAACUCCCAAACCCUAUGCGAACUUACCACUUGUUGCUUCGGCGCGCGCUUCGGCGCCGCCGAGGACACUUAAACUCUUUGUUUUUAUAAGCAUUUCUGAGUGGCCGAAAGGCAAAAUACAAAUGAAUCAAAACUUUCAACAACGGAUCUCUUGGUUCUG